rnacentral:rRNA from 1 species
AAUGAACGUUGGCGGCGUGGAUUAGGCAUGCAAGUCGAGCGCUCAUAGCAAUAUGGGAGCGGCGAACGGCGUAGUAAUGCAUCGGAACGUACCCUUCGGUCGGGGAUAGCCACGGGAAACUGUGGGUAAUACCCGAUGAUAUCUGCGGAUCAAAGGUGAGAUUCCGCCGGAGGAGCGGCUGAUGUGAUAUUAGCUUGAUGGUGGGGUAAUGGCCUACCAUGGCGAUGAUGUCUAGGGGGUGUGAGAGCAUGGCCCCCCACGACCGGAACUGAGACACUGUCCGGACACCUACGGGUGGCUGCAGUCGAGAAUCUUCCGCAAUGGACGAAAGUCUGACGGAGCGACGCCGCGUGCGGGAUGAAGGCCCUUGGGUUGUAAAGCUCUUUCAGGUGGAAAGAAAGCGGAUGGGUUAAUACCCUGUCCGGAUGACGGUACCACCAGAAGAAGCACCGGCUAACUACGUGCCAGCAGCCGCGGUAAAGUCUAGCA